rnacentral:rRNA from 1 species
AGAGUUUGAUCCUGGCUCAGGAUGAACGCUAGCUACAGGCUUAACACAUGCAAGUCGAGGGGCAGCAGGAUCUAGCAAUAGAUUGCUGGCGACCGGCGCACGGGUGAGUAACACGUAUCCAACCUGCCGAUAACUCGGGGAUAGCCUUUCGAAAGAAAGAUUAAUACCCGAUGGCAUAAUUAGACCGCAUGGUUUGAUUAUUAAAGAAUUUCGGUUAUCGAUGGGGAUGCGUUCCAUUAGGCAGUUGGUGAGGUAACGGCUCACCAAACCUUCGAUGGAUAGGGGUUCUGAGAGGAAGGUCCCCCACAUUGGAACUGAGACACGGUCCAAACUCCUACGGGAGGCAGCAGUGAGGAAUAUUGGUCAAUGGGCGCAGGCCUGAACCAGCCAAGUAGCGUGAAGGAUGACUGCCCUAUGGGUUGUAAACUUCUUUUAUAUGGGAAUAAAGUUUUCCACGUGUGGAAUUUUGUAUGUACCAUAUGAAUAAGGAUCGGCUAACUCCGUGCCAGCAGCCGCGGUAAUACGGAGGAUCCGAGCGUUAUCCGGAUUUAUUGGGUUUAAAGGGAGCGUAGGUGGACAGUUAAGUCAGUUGUGAAAGUUUGCGGCUCAACCGUAAAAUUGCAGUUGAUACUGGCUGUCUUGAGUACAGUAGAGGUGGGCGGAAUUCGUGGUGUAGCGGUGAAAUGCUUAGAUAUCACGAAGAACUCCGAUUGCGAAGGCAGCUCACUGGACUGCAACUGACACUGAUGCUCGAAAGUGUGGGUAUCAAACAGGAUUAGAUACCCUGGUAGUCCACACAGUAAACGAUGAAUACUCGCUGUUUGCGAUAUACAGUAAGCGGCCAAGCGAAAGCAUUAAGUAUUCCACCUGGGGGAGUACGCCGGCAACGGUGAAACUCAAAGGAAUUGACGGGGGCCCGCACAAGCGGAGGAACAUGUGGUUUAAUUCGAUGAUAGCCGAGGAACCUUACCCGGGCUUAAAUUGCAAAUGAAUAAUCUGGGAAACAGGUUAGCCGCAAGGCAUUUGUGAAGGUGCUGCAUGGUUGUCGUCAGCUCGUGCCGUGAGGUGUCGGCUUAAGUGCCAUAACGAGCGCAACCCUUAUCUUUAGUUACUAACAGGUCAUGCUGAGGACUCUAGAGAGACUGCCGUCGUAAGAUGUGAGGAAGGUGGGGAUGACGUCAAAUCAGCACGGCCCUUACGUCCGGGGCUACACACGUGUUACAAUGGGGGGUACAGAAGGCAGCUACCUGGUGACAGGAUGCUAAUCCCAAAAGCCUCUCUCAGUUCGGAUCGAAGUCUGCAACCCGACUUCGUGAAGCUGGAUUCGCUAGUAAUCGCGCAUCAGCCAUGGCGCGGUGAAUACGUUCCCGGGCCUUGUACACACCGCCCGUC